ACCACGCGAGUGGAUGCCAAUCCUAAAACCCCUCUCAGUUCGGACUGGAGUCUGCAACCCGACUCCACGAAGCUGGAUUCGCUAGUAAUCGCGCAUCAGCCACGGCGCGGUGAAUACGUUCCCGGGCCUUGUACACACCGCCCGUCAAGCCAUGGGAGCCGGGGGUACCUGAAGUGCGUAACCGCGAGGAUCGCCCUAGGGUAAAACUGGUGACUGGGGCUAAGUCGUAACAAGGUAAC
rnacentral:rRNA from 1 species